rnacentral:rRNA from 1 species
CAACUCUUAACAAUGGAUAUCUUGGCUCUCGUAACGAUGAAGAACGCAGCGAAAUGCGAUACGUAAUGUGAAUUGCAGGGCUCAGUGAAUCAUCAAAUCUUUGAACGCAUAUUGCGCUCGCGGGCUCUGCCCGGGAGCACGCCUGUUUGAGGAACAGCC